CCCAGAGAAAAACUACUCAACUCUUUAGUGAGUCUGGCUGUGUAUCGGGUUGAUUAACUGCAAAGCCAGCAUAGAUGUGUUCUUCCUAGUGUUACAUCAUCAGCUGUUCCUUCCUCAAACAAGCCCUCCUGAAUCCUUCCUCUUCUGGCUCCCCUGAGGUUGUUGAAAGUGAAUUUGUUAUUUGCCAUCAAAAAAAUACUAACAGCUUCCCAAAUGCUAGGACUAAAGGUGAGACUGAAAAACACAACAGAUGGACUGAACUGAAAAUCACAAAGUCGUCCUUUAAAGUUUCUUAUCCUAGUUUACUAUUUCCCUAGCGUUUGGACCCUAGUAGGUGACAAGGGACAAUAAGUUUUACAAAUUCAGAGUUCUUCUCAAAUAAGUGUCCAAAAGGUCAUGGUUCCGAAGAGAAACAAAAUCCCCAACACAGAAAACUGUCAACAUCAUCUUGUUAUGACCUUAAUGAUGACGUCGUAGGCUCUGGACCAGAGAGACUUCAAGGCUGCUGCGGGCGCAGCAGUAGUGACUAUAGCCCGAGCACAAGCCUCACCUGCGCAGGGGAACAAGGCGCUUACACCCAAGAUUCCCACUCAGCCGAACUGGCCCUGGAAUCCAACUUGAAUUUUGGAAGUACCUUCAGCAGGAAGCUGUGUGGGUAGACAAUCAGACCUGUUUUUGCGGCACAUAUUUCAAUCUACAGGUCUUGCUACCAGCUACAGAACUCCAGGGAAAGGCUGAGGACCACCAACUUGAGUCUUCGGCUGAAGGGCCAUCCCAGGGAAACUCAACAAGUUCUGCACACCACGCCGGCCUGCCGCCCCCAAGCAGGGGAGAGACCGAGUCGCUACGCAGAAUUCUAAAAUUGUGUGGCUAGUACACAUCACUCAACUAAUGUGGAAGACGGACUCAGGGUAUUGCAGCUCUCUUAACACCUGAUCCAGGGCACUUCAAAGAUGAACCAAAAACUUUGUUAUGAAAAAUACUUUUUGAUUUCCACAAAGCUUCUCUGUUAUAGAUGUGUGAUGAUCAUGGAUGAAUUAGGCCCAUUUGCUCUACAUUUACAAGACUUAUAUGAGACUGCAAUCAGCCAACCUGAAAAUACCAGCAUCUACCACUGGCUUUAAAAAAACAGCUGUGUGCUUAGAGGAUUUGAUUUGGCAAUUCUAUUUCUGAAGAAUCUAGCCAAGUGCUUCCAGACAUGGAAUAGGAAGGAACAUUCUGUAUACAGAAUGAAUGUUUGCCCUGAUUCCAGAUGUUGAAACCCAUGCUCAGUGUGGUGAUUUAAAGAGGUGGGGUAUUGGAGAAGUGACCGAGCCAGAAGAGCAGAGCUCUCAACAGUGAAAUUAGUGCCUCAUGAAAGUGCCUGAGAAAAAAUUUUACCCCUUAAAAACUCAGUCUAUGAAACGAGGGGCCUUCAACGGACACCAAGUCAGUUGCUGGCACUGCCUUUGACUUCCCAGGCGGAGAAGAAAUGUUUCAAGCGUACUGAUGUAAUCUAACCUUAUAUGUUUACACAGUCCCCUAGCUGGUGUAGCAGCGCACACCUGUAAUUCCACUACUUAGGAGACAGAGGCAGGAGGAACUGCUGAAAAUUCAAGGCCAAUCUGAGCUACGUACUGAGUUCCAGGCUGAGCUGAUCUACGGUGAGACCCUGUCUCAACCAUUCUCAGCCAGGAAUGGAGGCAUAGUCCUGUAACUCCAUCACUUGGGAGGCUGAAGGAGGAUUGGGAAUUCAUGGUCAUCUUCAGCUUUAUAGCAAGUUCGAGGCCAGCCUGAACUAUAUCAGACCCUAACUCAACAAACCAAACAGCCAAUAAAACAAACAAAAAAUUUCCAAAAUUUCCAAAAUGAAACAUGAAACUUCUUGCUGUAACUUCCUGAGGAUUCCCAGUGUACAAUGACACACACAUUCGCAUUGCAAUGGUGUUCUCAAAUAAAUACCAUUCUUUUAAACAGGUUGACACUUGCAUCUACUGAGAGCUUGAUGUUUGCUCUGCACCGUGACUACUGAUCUUUCCUUCUGUGCAGCUUUCAUUGGUCUUUCCAGACUCCCUUUACAUUUAAUCUUCAACCAUCUGGGCAGGUCUUUAUGACCUGAUCCUCGUCCUCCCAGCUGACUACAGACACUCAGACUUGCACUUCCUGGCGUUCUUGUGGGAUUCCUGAACUGGGCAUUGCACCUGAAGAGUCCUGGUCAAGGCGCGGGCAUGCUCGUCAGCACUGCAAAGUGAGUUGAACGAGAAGGUGUGAGGUCA